UCUCCGUCGGUGAACCAGCGGAGGGAUCAUUACCGAGUGCAAACUCAUAACCCUUUGUGAACCUAUAUCUGUUGCUUCGGCGGCUCGCUCUCGGGCGAGCCCGCCGGUAAUAUCAGUAUCUCUGUUUGAACCCGACGAUACUUCUGAGUGUUCUUAGCGAACAGUUAAAACUUUUAACAACGGAUCUCUUGGCUCUA
rnacentral:misc_RNA from 1 species